rnacentral:rRNA from 1 species
CCUACGGGAGGCAGCAGUGAGGAAUAUUGGUCAAUGGCCGGAAGGCUGAACCAGCCAUGCCGCGUGAAGGUCAGUGCCCUAUGGGCGUUAAACUUCUUUGGUGCGGGAGCAAUAAUGGUCACGUGUGGCCAGACGAGAGUACCGUACGAAUAAGCAUCGGCUAACUCCGUGCCAGCAGCGGGGGUAAUACGGGGGAUGCAAGCGUUAUCCGGAUUGAUUGGUUUUAAAGGGUGCGUAGGCUGUGAGGUAAGUCAGCGGUGAAAUGCCCCCGCUCAACGGGGUGAAGUGCCAUUGAUACUGCCUUGCUGGAAUGCGGAUGCCGUGGGAGGAAUGUGUGGUGUAGCGGUGAAAUGCAUAGAUAUCACACAGAACACCGAUUGCGAAGGCAUCUCACGAAUCCGCGAUUGACACUGAUGCACGAAAGCGUGGGUAUCAAACAGGAUUAGAUACCCCUGUAGUC